UCCCAGCAGUCCAAGUCGCAGCCACAAUUAUUGGGUCUAAAACAUCCGUAGCUUGUUUUGCAAGUCUCUUGUGAAAUCUGGCCUCUUAAGGGUCGGGCGUGCAAGAGAUACUGCAUUACUAGAGACCGGGAGACGUAAAGAGUACGAAUGGGGUAACGGUAAAAUGUGUUGAUCCUGUUUGGACUAACAAUAGCGAAGGCACUUUACGAGAACGGAUCUGACAGUGAGGGAUGAAGGCUAGGGGCGCAAAGUGGAUUAGAUACCCAUGUAGUCCUAGCAGUAAACACUGCACACUGAACAUUAGGGCCUCUUCGAGAGGUUCUAGUGCUGUAGGGAAGCCGGAGAGUGUGCUACCUGGGAAGUAUAGUCGCAAGACCGAAACUUAAAGGAAUAGGCGGGGGAGUACUACAACGAGUGACGCGUGCGGUUCAAUUAGAUUCUACACCGUGAACCUCACCAGGACCGACAGCAGAAUGAAGGUCAGUCUGAAGGGCUUACCUGACACGCUGAGAGAAGUUGCAUGGCCGACGUCAGCCUGUGUCGUGAGAUGACCUGUUAAAUCAGGUAACAGGCGAGACCCGUGUGUAUAUUUGCAUUUGAACAAUAUACAGACUGCCUGGGUAACCAGGAGGAAGGUGCGGGCUACGUUAGGUGGUAUGGCUCGGAUGCCCUGGGCUACACGCGCGCGGCAAUGCUGCACUCAAAGGGAUGCAACUCCGAAAGGAGAAGCCAACCUCAUAAACUGCAGCCUAGUUCAGAUUGAGGGUUGCAACUCACCCUCAUGACGCUGGAAUUCGUAGUAAUCGGAUUUUAUUAGAGUCCGGUGAAUAAGUCAAUGCUCCU
rnacentral:rRNA from 1 species